rnacentral:sRNA from 1 species
GAGUUUAUUAAAUUUAACAAGCUCAUCAAAGAAAACAUGUAAUAUAGUCACCGGGAAUGAAAUUCACUUCGCUGUAAGCAUCAAUUCAUUAAAAACGUGUUCACUAUAACCGUGUUUUACUGUAAAUAAAAAAAAUAUCAUCAGAUCCAUAAAUUUGUAAAUGUAUUACUGUUAUACAUAUGCAUUUACAGUGAAAUUCGGACAAUUUUGAUUUUUCUCUGUUAACUUUUUUUUUUUUACAAUUCUAGAAUUUUUUUUAUUUGUAUGUGUUCCUAACCUUUAUUAUUCAAUUCAAUUAUUUGUCCCAUUUGAAAUUAGCCAUGCGGGGGUAUUUGUCCCAUUAGGACAGUUCUAGUUAAGCUUAGAAUUCCAUUGUAUUACCUUGAUAAAAAAGUUUUUGCUCACCUGAACCAGAGGCUCAAGUGAGCUUUUCUGAUUAAAAUUUGUCCAUUGUCUGUCGUUGUUGGCUGUUUCUAUAAAGCUAUGAAUUAACUAUAGGUUUCCAUAAGAAAUAGAGGGAAUAAUACUUGGUUGAUGUAAAUAUUUAAGAAUAAUCAGAAAUUUGUUGGGAUUAUGUAGAAAUUUUAUUCUCAUAAUCAAUUUGUCCAGAAAAGCUGAAUUUUGUGUGGAAGCAUCCUCAGAUGGUGCAUAUUAAUGUUCAAAUCAUGAUCCCAGGGGGUAGGAUGGGGCCAUAAUGGAGAAGGGGGGUUCAAAUUCUGACAAAGGAAUUUAUAGUGAAACAUCUUUAAGAAUCUUCUUCUCUAAAACCUAUUGGCCAGAAAAGCUUUAACCGACGUGAAAGCAUCCUCAAGUAGUGUAUAUUCAAGUCUAUUCAAAUCAUGAUCCCCAGGGUAAGGUAUGGGCCAAAAUGCAUGAUUAAUAUUAAGAGAAUAAUUAUUUGGAAUCUUUAUCUUUUAAAGGGCCUCAAUAUUAAAUGUUAAAUUUUUAAAAAGGUGGGGAAAAUUUUAAGCUAUACAUAUUUUGCUUACAAAAUAUUUUGAAAGAUGUUUUAUAUUUUACUUAACUGUAUAUCAGUUGGCCAUUGUUGCUCAGGUGAGUGAUGUGGCCCUUAGGCCUCUUGUUCUUAAAUGGAAUUUGCAUUUCGGAUUCUUUUUAUAAUUUCUGUUAUGAAAACUUUUUGUACAUCAUGAAAAAUACAAUAAAAUGCUGUGUUUUU